GUGGGAGGGGGCUUGCUCCCGAUCGCGGUGUGUCAGUCAUAUAUAGGGUGACUGACACUCUGCUAUCGGGAGCAAGCCUCCUCCCAC
rnacentral:misc_RNA from 1 species